rnacentral:lncRNA from 1 species
CCCAGCCCUGGCGUGGGCCCAGCCCGGCCCAGGCAGCAAUGGGGUUCCUGCAGCUGCUGGUCGUAGCGGUGCUGGCAUCCGAACACCGGGUGGCUGGUGCAGCCGAGGUCUUCGGGAAUUCCAGCGAGGGGCUAUUGAACAUUUGUAAGAAGAUAACAAUGAGAAAUUGGGAGGGGCGGUUGACUGCUGACCAACUCAAGUAGCUGAACCAUUUUUGUUUUUAAUGUGAAGAGAAUUAUGAAGACUAGGCUAUGAUGGAUUUCUCUUAGAAUUUGGUUGUUGUGUUGAAACACAAACAGUAGAAGUAAAUUUUAGUAAAAUAGUAAAAAGGAAGAGUUGGAAAUUUUUAUGGUUGCCAGAUUAGGAUCUGAUUCGGAAAGAAAAAGGAAAGUAUUAGGAUUGGGCAGCUCUUUUUAAAGUGGAAUUAUUGGAAAGAAAAAGUGAUUCUGGGUAAGAAUGGAAGAUGGGUGUGAAAAAUUGUUUCAAGUCCCUACUAUAGGUCAGAUGGCAAAAAAAGCCAUUUCUUUUUAGAGGAAAGCUAAUGUAAGUGCCCCAACUUGAUGUUAGCCAUUUGCUUUGUAAUAUCUUUUGAUGUGCUGUCUUUUUUCCUCCUACUCUGCAAGUCAUAAGAUAUAAUUAUGCCUCAUAAAAUGCUUCUAAUAAAUCCUUUUCCAUAUGCCUUAGAGGUGAAGUUAAAUUCCUGUUAGCUUCUUCAGGAUAUUUUUUGAGUAUGUGUCUUCUUUUGCUAAAUCUGUUUUUAUGAGCAGAAAUUAAAUGAGUUUCUACCAGACUGAGCUGUUUAAGUUGUCUUGACUUUCAGUAUCUUUUGUUGUCACUCUUCGGAAGUCUCUUUCUCAACGUAAUGCUUAUGAUGUGCCUGGAAUUUCUGUGAAUGCCCUGUACAUGUUAGUUCCUUUCUUCCCACUAAUUUUUUCGUAGGG